GAUCGUUAAACAAGUAUAUAAUCGAUUGUUCUGUUGUUUUUGAAAAUUCCAGUUUUGGCGGUCUUAAUAUAAUCGAUUAUGUUAUAUAUGUCCAGAUUUAAAAGACAUGGUUAAAAAUCAUUUUGGCUAAAAUGCAAAUCAUUUUGUUUUAAUUUAAAGAUUCAUGUUUUGAUGAAAAUGAUUUUACGAGAGAAGCCAAUAGUUGAAUCUGUUGUUGAAUCAAGAUCACACUAUAAAACGACCCAAGUAUAACUUCGAUGCUUCACUUGAUCUUGUUCUUGUUUCUCUUGUGCUUGACUGUUAACGUUCCAUGCUCGUUGGUUUGUC
rnacentral:lncRNA from 1 species